GGUGUUUAUAGCGUUGAGGUUCCACCUGUUCCCUUUCCGAACACAGAAGUUAAGCUCUUCCGCGUAGAUGAUACUUGGACGGUGACGUCCUGGAAAAUUAUAUCAAUGC
rnacentral:rRNA from 1 species